ACCUUUCAGGUUGCAGCCUGAUUUAUUAGGCUGAUGGCUGGUGACUUUUUAGUCACCAGCCU
rnacentral:sRNA from 22 species